UGUGUUGCCGCUUCGGUGGGGCUAACGCCAU
rnacentral:piRNA from 1 species